rnacentral:tRNA from 1 species
GGUGGGUUGGCUCAGUGGUUAGAGCGUAGGUCUCAUGACGGAAAGGUUGCGGGAUCGAAUCCCGCUAGAGGCUG